GCUGAAGAUUGGUACUUGUACCGAUUGGAUGAGUUGCGAACGGGUGAGUAACGCGUAGGUAACCUGCCUUGUAGCGGGGGAUAACUAUUGGAAACGAUAGCUAAUACCGCAUAACAAUGGCUGACACAUGUCAGUGAUUUAAAAGGGGCAAUUGCUCCACUACAAGAUGGACCUGCGUUGUAUUAGCUAGUUGGUGGGGUAACGGCUCACCAAGGCGACGAUACAUAGCCGACCUGAGAGGGUGAUCGGCCACACUGGGACUGAGACACGGCCCAGACUCCUACGGGAGGCAGCAGUAGGGAAUCUUCGGCAAUGGGGGCAACCCUGACCGAGCAACGCCGCGUGAGUGAAGAAGGUUUUCGGAUCGUAAAGCUCUGUUGUAAGCGAAGAACGUGUGUGGGAGUGGAAAAUCCACACAAUGACGGUAGCUUACCAGAAAGGGACGGCUAACUACGUGCCAGCAGCCGCGGUAAUACGUAGGUCCCGAGCGUUAUCCGGAUUUAUUGGGCGUAAAGCGAGCGCAGGCGGUUAGAUAAGUCUGAAGUUAAAGGCUGUGGCUCAACCAUAGUUUGCUUUGGAAACUGUUUAACUUGAGUGCAAGAGGGGAGAGUGGAAUUCCAUGUGUAGCGGUGAAAUGCGUAGAUAUAUGGAGGAACACCUGUGGCGAAAGCGGCUCUCUGGCUUGUAACUGACGCUGAGGCUCGAAAGCGUGGGUAGCGAACAGGAUUAGAUACCCUGGUAGUCCACGCCGUAAACGAUGAGUGCUAGGUGUUAGGCCCUUUCCGGGGCUUAGUGCCGCAGCUAACGCAUUAAGCACUCCGCCUGGGGAGUACGACCGCAAGGUUGAAACUCAAAGGAAUUGACGGGGGCCCGCACAAGCGGUGGAGCAUGUGGUUUAAUUCGAAGCAACGCGAAGAACCUUA
rnacentral:rRNA from 1 species